rnacentral:sRNA from 1 species
GCUGGGUGUGUUGGCACAUGCCUGUAAUCCCAGUGGCUUUCGGAAGUUGAGGCAGGAGGAUCAGGAGUUCAAAGCUAGCCUCAGAAACUUAGCAAGGCCCUAAGAAAAUCAGUGAAACUCUGUCUCUA